rnacentral:rRNA from 1 species
UAUUAUUUUAGAUGUAAAUUAUAUAAACUUGAGUAGUAUUAGUUAAGGUCUUGAAACUUAAAGAAUUUGGCGGUAUUUUAGUCUAUUUAGAGGAAUCUGUCCCGUUAUCGAUAAUCCACGUUGGACCUUACUUGAUUUAUUAAUAUGUAUACCGCCGUUGUUGAAAAUCUUUUUAGGGUAUGUAAUUUUUUUAAUAUUUAUUAAAUAAUUUUUCAGGUCAAGGUGCAGUUUAUAAUCAAGUGGAGAUGGAUUACAAUAUUUUAAAGUAUAUGGAUUUUUGUUUUUAAUUUAAUGAUAUGAAGGUGGAUUUAAUAGUAAUGUUAUGAAGAUUAUUAAUGUGAUUUUAGCUCUAAAAUAUGUACACAUCGCCCGUCGCUCUCGUUAUUUUAAGGUGAG